UACGUAGGUGGCAAGCGUUAUCCGGAUUUAUUGGGUGUAAAGGGCGUGUAGGCGGGAGCGCAAGUCAGAUGUGAAAACUCAGGGCUCAACCCUGAGCCUGCAUUUGAAACUGUGUUUCUUGAGUGCUGGAGAGGCAAUCGGAAUUCCGUGUGUAGCGGUGAAAUGCGUAGAUAUACGGAGGAACACCAGUGGCGAAGGCGGAUUGCUGGACAGUAACUGACGCUGGGGCGCGAAAGCGUGGGGAGCAAACAGG
rnacentral:rRNA from 1 species